AUGAGGACUGUGCUAAUCUGUGGAAUAAAUAUAUUGUUGUGCUGCCUAAUUUGUGCUAAUUCUGAAAUAUGGCGCCUCUCAUCUCCAAUAAUAGCAUGUGCAAACCCAAAAUGUUAAGUUCUGAAGGACAUGCAAGUGCCGAUUAUGUGCUUUUCCUGCUGAUAUGCACUGUAGUAUAUCAAAAUGUACACUUGAUGAGGUGUUUGAAUUUUCAACUCGCAUUUAGAGAGAGGGGUAGUGCAAAAACUAACUGGCGCAAGCUGUACACUGACAGCAUACAGUCCGGCCUUCCCGUCAACAUACAGUCUCUUUUGCGAUUCGAUUCACUUCAAUUUAAGAGGCGUACCCAUGAGCAUGCCAGCUGCAUGAAUCAGGAGGGUCAGGAAGCAGAAUUCAGCUGCGUAGCCGGACAGUGGAGAGGAAGCAAUGGUGUGGACCUUCCGUUUCUUUUCAAUGUCCGAGAAGGAAGUUCGUCCAUUUGGUGGACCAUAGCGACAUCCAAGUGGAUGAGAAGCAGUGUGCGUGGAAGCUCGAUUCCUCUUUGAAGCUCUUACAAAGUUCAUCCAUUCGAUGGACUGGAGCGAUACCCAAGUUCGUUACAGCAUCCAGUCAUCUGCAUAUUCAGCAUUUCUUCUGUUUUGCAUACUGUCAUAUUUCAUAUGUGCAUCUGGAAGGACUGAGUCACUGAUCUCAUUUAUAUGGCCACAGUCAGUGAUCAAUAAAUAGGCACUGGAAUUUAUCUUCUAACAUCACUGUUAUCUGAGUUCUCUGUCUUUAUUUUAGUUUGUUAAGCUGAUAAAAAGAUUUCCAUGUCUCUUUAUUCCGCUUUUCACUGUCUGACAAUAAUGGAACAUAUUAAGCUCUUCAAAUUGGAUCUCAUACUCAUAUAUACCUUUCAUCUUCGAAUAACAGGAGAUCACCAAGUUGUGUUUUAUCAUAUCACUAUAUUAAAUAUAUCAUUUGUCCAUAUGAACAAGAGAUAAUCACCUGGAAGCUGGUUAUGCUCAUCUUUGAGAUCGAUCCUGCCCCUUCAAUGUUACUUAGAGUUGUUAUUAGAAAAGGACAAGAAAACAACCACUUGCUUCCGGGUCAAAAAACAUGUGAUGCAUUCGAGACUUAACGAAUUCAAAAACCAACACUGUGGUCCUCCCUGCCCGGUAUCCAUGUGCCAGAAUCAUGAGUUGGUUGCGAGAUCUUAUGGGUUUCACCUCUAGCCUACCCCAACUUGGUUGGGACUAAAGGCUUUGUUGUUGUUGUUGCAAGUGGACGUUUUGUAAUUGAAGUGCACAUUGUCCCAUAUGGCUGUCAUCACCUUGGUUUAGCCAUUUGAUUAAUUUAAAACCUGCACCUUCAAGACCAACCACCUUGUUUAUUUUUGCACUAUUUAUGCCUGGCUGAUCUCAUCAGGGCUAUUGCUAACUGUUUUUACAUUUGUUUGAUGUGUCAACAGAUUAAAAUUCUGUUUUUUUAAUCCUGAAAACUGAGUGUGUAACUGUAAACACAACUUUUAUCAGUCUCAGCAUAAGGUUCGCAAGCAUGCCUCUCUCUGCCAGCUGAUUAUGAUCGUUCUGAGAUCAAUCUACUCAAUCAUAAUUAGAGGUGUCAUUCAAAAAAAAAGGACAAGAAAAGAAGCACUUGCUUCAGAGAUAAGUAUGUGAUGCAUUCAAGAUUCAACUAAUGAAAAAAAAAAUCUGGUCUCCCUGGGCGCCAGGUACUCGAGGUAAGUAUGUGUUGUAGGUGUGCUGUCUGUCACACGUCUAGUCAGUGGAGGCACUUGUCUUAUUUGCAUUCUUUGGACCCUUUGUAAUUGUAAAGAAAAUUCAUACCAUUAGAUAAGGUCAUGGCCAGUGGAACGUCAAUUUUGACAAAACUGCACUGAGCGUACUGACAUAAAUACGUAAUAUAAUGCUUUAAUUGCAUAUUUUGGUUGUCUGGUGAUCUGGAUGUGCACUGUAUGCUGGUUGCCUUGCCCCUAUUAUACGUGAGCCCAAAAGAAUGCCCAGUGCUGAGCUGUUACAAGAUUGGAUGGUUUGUGGUUGGUUUUCUAUAAUGAAAUUCAUCCACUUGGCUCCCAUUUUCCUCACAAUCAAAGCAAGCACGUCUUGUCCACACCAUUCUCUUCUCCAUCUGUGUCUUUAUUUUUGUUUCACUGUAUGUGCAGUUAAAAGUUAGGCUUAUUCUGAUUUUAGUUAGUUAAGUCGAGCUCGUUGAGCCGAUAUACAAAAUUUCAUAUGGCCCCUUAUGAACACUAUAUUAAGUACUCCCUCUGUAAACUAAUAUAAGAGCGUUUAGAUCACUAAAAUAGUGAUCUAAACACUCUUAUAUUAGUUUACAGAAGGAGUAUUACAUAUGUCAUCAUCACAUAA